GGUUGAAUUCCGUUUUGGAAGCAAAGAUGAUCCGCCAUAUCAUUUAGUUUUACAAAGUUAGACUGUCGCCAAAAAACACUGCAUAAUAGUACUUAAUCAAGCUUACACAACACUUGAAGUUUAUUACAGGAUCUUCAUACCUGUCUACUCAUAGUAAAAGAACAGAAAGAAAUAUUGAUCUUUAUAGCUGUUCUGGUGAGACAACGGUAAGAAACACACCAGACCUUUAUUGAUUAAGGAACAACUAGCGACUAAAUGCAGCUCUUAUGGUGUACAGGAGGUACGUGGUAGCAAUGGGCCAUGGUACGUAGAAGGUGGCAGGUUUGUUGGUGGGGUGGAUGGUCUAGUUUAUGGAGUACUAAGCAGAAGCCCAUAUGGAGGAGGAGAAGGGGGUGAAUAUGUAGUUGGUGGUGAUGGUGGUUGGCCAUAAGUAGGUGUAGGUGGUCGUGGCUGCCUAUGAGGAGGAGGCGGCGAGUGAAUUUGUCUUGGCGGAGGAGCAGAGAAAGUCGGUGGUGAUGGUGGCUGGCCAUAAGUAGGUGUAGGUGUUCGUGGCUGCCAAUGAGGAGGAGGCGGUGAGUGAAUUUGUCUUGGCGGAGGAGGAGAGAAAGUCGGUGGUGAUGGUGGCUGGCCAUAAGUAGGUGUAGGUGGCCGUGGCUGCCUAUGAGGAGGAGGAGGCAAGUGAAUUCGUCUUGGCGGAGGAGGAGAGAAAGUCGGUGGUAGUGGCUGCACUUGGGGAGGCGGAGGCGAGUAAAUUGGUGAUGGUGGCGGUGGUGAGUAUGCAGGUGGAGGAGGUGAGUAUGUUGGUGGAGGUGGUGGUGGUUGUGCAUAUGCAGGGGGAGGAGGCGAGUAUGUAGGUGGAGGAGGAGAAUACGUUGGCGGUGGUGGUGGUGAGUAUGCAGGUGGAGGAGGCGAGUAUGUUGGUGGAAGCGGUGGUGGUUGUGCAUAUGUAGGGGGAGGAGGCGAGUAUGUAGGUGGAGGAGGAGAAUAUGUUGGUGGUGCAGGCAAAGGAGGGGAAUACGCUGGUGGAGGUGGAGGUGAUUGUCCAUAUGUGGGUGGAGGUGGCGAGAAGGAUGGUGGUGGUGGAGGAGGUGAGUAAAUUGGUGAUGAUGGCGGUGGUGGUGGCAAAUAUGUAGGUGGAGGAGGGGAAUAUGAUGGUGGUGGCGGUGGUGAGUAUACGGGCGGAGGAGGCGAGUAAAUUGGUGAUGAUGGCAGUGGCAAAUAUGUAGGUGGAGGAGGGGAGUACGUUGGUGGUGGUGAGUAUGCUGGAGGAGGAGGCGAGAAAGUUGGUGUUGGUGGUGGAGAUGGUGAGUAUGCAGGUGGAGGAGGCGAGUAAAUUGGUGAUGGUGGUGGUGGAGAGUAUGUAGGUGGAGGAGGCGAGUACGUUGGUGAGGGUUGGGGUGAUUGUGCAUAUGCAGGUGGAGGAGGUGAGUAAGUUGGUGGUUGUGGCUGCCUACGGGGAGAAGGUGGUAGAUGUCUUAGGGGUGAAGGUUGAUGAGUAGGUGGUGCAUGUCGAUGAGUAGGUGGUGCAUGUCGAUGAGUGGGUGGUUGUGGUUGAUGUCCACGUGAAGGUGGUGAUGGUGUUGGUUGUACGUGUGUAGGUGGAGGAGGUGAGUAAGUCGGUGGUG
rnacentral:lncRNA from 1 species